UCCUCCCUCUUUCUUCGUGCCUAAUACAUGCAAGUUGAGCGCUGAAGGUUGGUACUUGUACCAACUGGAUGAGCAGCGCACGGGUGAGUAACGCGUGGGGAAUCUGCCUUUGAGCGGGGGACAACAUUUGGAAACGAAUGCUAAUACCGCAUAAAAACUUUAAACACAAGUUUUAAGUUUGAAAGAUGCAAUUGCCUCACUCAAAGAUGAUCCCGCGUUGUAUUAGCUAGUUGGUGAGGUAAAGGCUCACCAAGGCGAUGAUACAUAGCCGACCUGAGAGGGGGGUCGGCCACAUUGGGACUGAGACACGGCCCAAACUCAUACGGGAGGCAGCAGUAGGGAAUCUUCGGCAAUGGACGAAAGUCUGACCGAGCAACGCCGCGUGAGUGAAGAAGGUUUUCGGAUCGUAAAACUCUGUUGGUAGGGAAGAACGUUGGUGAGAGUGGAAAGCUCAUCAAGUGACGGUAACUACCCAGAAAGGGACGGCUAACUACGUG
rnacentral:rRNA from 1 species